AGGAUCUGGCGGUGAACGAGUACCCCGACCACACGCUGCCCAAGGAUGGAUGUGAGCACAGUGAGAACAGACUUUCUGUUGGAGUCCCCGGUCCUCCGCUACUUCCACUUCCUCCUUUUUCCUCCUCUUUGGCAAGGUUCACCAUCAGAACUAAAACAUGGGAGAAGUUCCAUCCUCCACUCCGGUGCAGAGGCUAUCUUCUGACCCACGACAGUGUCGUCAGGUCGAGGGCGGAGCUGGAGUCCACCAGAGGUGUAUGCAACCAGUCAUCUUGCUCGUAGCCCAAGAUGGUGUCGGCCCUCAACUUGUAGACAGGCAGCUGUUCCUCCAGAAGGCUAAUAAUCUCAAGCUCCGGCAGGGUCGCAGGGGGUGCUGGAGCCUAUCCCAGCUUCACCCGGGCGGAAGGCGGGGUACACCCUGGACAAGGCGCCACCUCAUCGCAGGGCCAACACAGAUAGACAGACAACAUUCACACUCACAUUCACAUGUUGCCUAUUAACCUAUCCCCAGGUGCAUGUCUUUGGAGGUGAUGGAAGCCAGAGUACCCGGAGGGAACUCCACACAGAAAGAUUGAACCCAGGACCUUCGUAUUGUGAGGCACACACUAACCCCUGUGCAACCGUGCUCCCCAUCAUACAUACCUUGUGUAAAUUAUUCCACCAUAGUAUGGUGAGUUUUAGCCCGUAGUUUGCUUGUUGUUGCGUCUUGUUCGCCUGGUAAAGACUUUUAUUUCACACACUCGGCUGGAAGCUUCAGUUUAGAUGCUGGAAUAAGUUUGUUGUGGUGCUGCCUUUUUGAAACAAACUUUGCAACGUGCAGUCACUUGCUCUACGCCUGUUGCCGCAAAACUAAAGUACACUUUUCUUUUCUUUGGAACAAACGUCUCGCUCUCGUUAGCAUUAUCCAUGUUUUUUUCUUUGUGUGCGGCUAAGGAAGUAAGGGGACGGCGCAAGCUACGGAAGCUCCUGAAGGGCAAAAAGUAUGCCGGAGCAAGAGGAGAAAAAAAUCUAUUUUUAAAUUUCAAAACCUUCUGCAACAAAAAACUUGAAUAUAUCGAUAAAAUCGAUAUAUCGCCCAGGCCAAGUAGUUGGUAUAACAAAUGUCACAAUGAACUCCAUAGGAUCCACCCAAAACAUCUAGUCUUACUCGCUAGCAUUAGCUUAUAGCUAGAGACAUAACUUUGCUUUUCCAACAUAACUUUGUUUUUCCAACCAUGGUAAGGGAGAACGUGAGUGUGAAGGAUAGUGCUGAUAGGAAAUGAAUGAUAUUAAUUGAAUUAAAGAAAUAAAUAAUCAAAAAUAUGACCAAGCGUGUUGCCAACUCCAGCCAAGGGUGUUACAAUAAUGUAUUAAACAUUUAUCCAUGAAAAUAUAGAAAAGCUGCUGAUGGUGUGUUGGCCGGAGAAGCUGCUAGGAUUAGAUACUGUAGAAGUCCACAGCCCACAAAUGCUGUACAUUGUUAUUAUUUUAUUUGAUAUAUCUACUGUAAUUAGUACUAUAUUCUCUUGUAUUGUUUUUACACAAUAUUUAUUAUCUAAAAAUGUGUUUUUAUUUUUAAAAGUCAUUUUACAUGAUAAAAUUGUGCUGUUUUUU